UAACACCGGACACAUAUCCAAGGGUAACUCCGGACACAUAUCCAAGGGUAACUGAAAACAAACCAUGCCUGGGUGCCCCGUGCACGAGUAGCCUUCGUGACGCACACACACCCCCGGCGGUAAAAUCACCACAUUAGCGUCUCGGUUACAGAGAUGUGGACACGUGAAGGUAAACACCUUACAUGAGGUUGUGACACAGUUACGUCCACAUGUGGCAGCCAUCGUGGGCUGCCGCGUCAUUCACCGCCACCUGACGAGGACCCCACUGUGGGAGGAGAGUGGUGAUUGGUGGUUGUCAAGACGGAGCAGGGAUCAGUAGCUGCCCCUGGCUGCCUCUCCCCAAGAGCGACGGAUAGGGACCGGACGGAGCCAGGGACGAUAGGGACGAGGACGGACGGGACAACUUACCGCUUCUCCAAGUGAACAGGUGGAAUUUGAGGGUCGUUGCCGGGGCCCCUGCGCAAACCAGACUUUACAUCUCGCUGUUAUUUGUUCUGCCUCCGGUGAAACGUUCUUCUUGGGGUGUUAUGUCGGGCGGCGCCGUGUGUGUGUGUGUGUAUUCUGUUCUUCUGUGAUGUCGUGGCUUGUAAUUCUUUUUUGUUGUUCUUAAAUGUGGUUUCGGUAAGGGGUUGUUGGUAACUGUUGCCUGUUCCUCCCCCUCUCCUCCCCCCCGACGAGGCUCAGUGGUGCCAACCUGCCCGAUUCAUCGAUUCUCUUGUCGAUGUAGUUGGUAGCCUUGCUCUACCCCCCACCCACCCCCCUCUCCACCAUCCCUCCUCCCCCCCUCUCCCCCCCCACACAUCACUCACUAAACAUAUAUAUAUAAUAUAAAAGAACUACCAACUUUACACGGGCUCACCAUAGCCGGUGCUACAUGGACCCUUCGUUCUGAGUAGCUAAAUCUGAAACAACAUACAACAAUUACCACUUUUAUAAACAGGUUGUUAAGAUUUGGAGUACAUAAAUGAUCAAUUAAAAAGGAGUACUAUGAAAUUUUAAGAGUACAUCUCACACAUAAAAUGUAUCACAUAAACCUAAAUAAUCAAACUCGACUUUUCACACAGCUUGGCUGAUUAGAUAUGUAUGUGUAUGUA